ACCUCCUUCGGGAGGGGAUUAGUGGCGAACGGGUGAGUAACACGUGGGCAAUCUGCCCUGCACUCUGGGACAAGCCCUGGAAACGGGGUCUAAUACCGGAUACGACCUUCGAGCGCAUGCUUGAAGGUGGAAAGCUCCGGCGGUGCAGGAUGAGCCCGCGGCCUAUCAGCUUGUUGGUGGGGUGAUGGCCUACCAAGGCGACGACGGGUAGCCGGCCUGAGAGGGCGACCGGCCACACUGGGACUGAGACACGGCCCAGACUCCUACGGGAGGCAGCAGUGGGGAAUAUUGCACAAUGGGCGAAAGCCUGAUGCAGCGACGCCGCGUGAGGGAUGACGGCCUUCGGGUUGUAAACCUCUUUCAGCAGGGAAGAAGCGAAAGUGACGGUACCUGCAGAAGAAGCGCCGGCUAACUACGUGCCAGCAGCCGCGGUAAUACGUAGGGCGCAAGCGUUGUCCGGAAUUAUUGGGCGUAAAGAGCUCGUAGGCGGCUUGUCGCGUCGGAUGUGAAAGCCCGGGGCUUAACCCCGGGUCUGCAUUCGAUACGGGCAGGCUAGAGUUCGGUAGGGGAGAUCGGAAUUCCUGGUGUAGCGGUGAAAUGCGCAGAUAUCAGGAGGAACACCGGUGGCGAAGGCGGAUCUCUGGGCCGAUACUGACGCUGAAGAGCGAAAGCGUGGGGAGCGAACAGGAUUAGAUACCCUGGUAGUCCACGCCGUAAACGUUGGGAACUAGGUGUGGGCGACAUUCCACGUCGUCCGUGCCGCAGCUAACGCAUUAA
rnacentral:rRNA from 1 species